CGCCUGUUUAUCAAAAACAUCUCUUCUCGUUAGUUUUUGAAGUAUGGCCUGCCCACUGACCUUGAAUGUUGAAGGGCCGCGGUAUUUUGACCGUGCAAAGGUAGCAUAGUCAUUAGUUCUUUAAUUGUGAUCUGGUAUGAAUGGCUUGACGAGGCAUAGGCUGUCUUAAUUUUGAAUUGUUUAUUGAAUUUGGUCUUUGAGUUAAAAUUCUUAGAUGUUUUUAUGGGACGAGAAGACCCUAUAGAGUUUGACAUUUAUUACGGUCUCUUUCUGUUUGUGAGGGUUCACUAGGGCUGUUUAAUAUGUUUUGUUGGGGUGAUGGGAGGGAUAUUAUUUAACCCCUCCUUUGUGUUGUUAUAUUUAUUUAUAUUUGCUUGAUCCAUUUAUUUUGAUUGUAAGAUUAAAUUACCUUAGGGAUAACAGCGUAA
rnacentral:rRNA from 1 species